AUUUGUACUCCCUGCUUAAAGGGACACAGGGCCCGCCUCCUCUGGCCCCGGCACCACCUCCUGAGUCAGACGCAGGCAGUGAGAGAGAGUUAGCUGCAUCUCUCAGGGCCCUAAAGCUUCUUUUUCUGGAAAGUGGCUUUUAUUGGCAUGCCAGGGUAUAAUUUGCCCUGCCAGGUGGGAGCCGUGGCUGAGGAAUGCAGAGGAGGAAGAGCUGGGGACAGCCUGCAUUCCUGGCAGUGCAGGAGCAAGUGGGGCGCCUCCAGUGUCUGCGGCCCUCCCCGCCCCGCCAGCUGGCAAACAUGUGCUGUGACUGCCAGGCCGCCAGGGAGCCGUGAAUGAAGGAGGCUGGGCUGAGGUUUGAAGUAGUGUUAUGAUUAUUCUCGACAAAGACGAGAGGGCACAGCUGUUCAUUCAGGAAAAGAGCAGCCCGUGGCACCACCCACCUACCCACCAGCAGCUGAGCUACAAAGAAAUCAUCUGCUGAAAACCAGGGGCUCUGCCCUGGAGGCUAUUUCUGUGGAAACCAAGCAUUCAAAAGCUCAUCUCCUCGAAAGCCUCCGUCGCCUUGGAGAGACUGUAGAGGAUCACUCUGGCUGCAGCUUAGAGGACGGCCCGAGGCCAGCAAGGAGAGUAGUUACCGGCUGGGCGAGAGAUGACUGGAUUGCACCGAGGUCGCCUAGCAACCUGAGAGCGUUGUCGGAGGGUUGACAGCUGCGCCUA